GCCGAGCAGCUCUGCUGUUCACCUCUCCUCCUCCGACUGACUCACCGCAGCCUCGAGAGCCGCCUCGGCCGGGCGCAGCCCUGUAGGAGCGGUUUAUCCCGGCCGGACAGGCCCAGCCGGAAUCGGGGUGUACUGAAGCUUUGAAAUCUACUUCCUGGUAAAUGGCUAGUAGGAAUAUCAAUCCAAAGACGGCGUGUAAAAAAAGUACUGUAUCUUGUUUUGUUUUUAAUUUUUAUCCAGCAGGUUUUAAAUCAGCCCACUCGUCACAUCAGUGAUUGUCUUCCUCCCCAUCCCCCUUCAAAGCGUCGUCUGCUGUUAUUCUACUUGGAAGUUUGAGCCCUCCGCCGGCGGGACCCGAGCGGAGAGAAAAAUGGGCGGGAACGCAGCGUUGCUUCUGUUCGUUUCGCAACCUGGAAGGGCUCAAGGGCCAACCGCGGGUCCAGCGCGCCGAUCUAAGAAUGGCAACUGCGUCUUCCGAAAUACGCUGAAGUUUAGCUAUUUUGUAAGCGUUGGAUUUGGGUGAGGAAAGCGGCAAAAGAAAGCGAGGAGGAGCUGGAGCCGAGGUUAUGCUCAUGUGACCGCUGGCGGCACAGGGCCGGGGGCUGCUGAGAAGUAGCUGCAACUGCUGCCGCUUUGCCCGUUUUUGGAAGUGGGUAGCAGCGAGAGAGACCGGAGGAUUCGCUCCUCAAGGAUGCGAAGCCGCUACGCCCCAAACAGAUGAUGGCGAUACGAGAGCUGAAAGUCUGUCUGCUUGGAGAUACUGGAGUUGGCAAAUCAAGUAUAGUUUGUCGAUUUGUUCAGGAUCAUUUUGACCACAAUAUUAGCCCUACUAUUGGAGCUUCUUUUAUGACUAAAACAGUCCCUUGUGGGAAUGAGCUUCAUAAAUUUCUGAUCUGGGAUACAGCAGGUCAGGAGAGAUUUCAUUCACUGGCACCUAUGUACUAUCGUGGAUCAGCAGCAGCUGUUAUAGUUUAUGACAUAACUAAGCAGGAUUCAUUUCAUACACUGAAGAAAUGGGUAAAAGAAUUAAAAGAACAUGGUCCUGAAAACUUUGUAAUGGCUAUUGCUGGAAACAAGUGUGACCUUUCUGAUAUUAGGGAGGUGCCUAUGAAAGAUGCCAAAGAAUAUGCAGACUCUAUAGGUGCAAUUGUUGUUGAGACUAGUGCCAAAAAUGCAAUUAACGUUGAAGAACUCUUUCAAGCAAUCAGAAAUGCAGUCUGAGAAAAGAGUGUACUCUUGCUGAAUUCCCACAAUUUAAACAUGGUGUCCUCGGCUAAACACUGGAAAAGUACACUUUUCCUCCGUUUCUUGUUACCAGGCCGGCAGAUUCCACCUUUAGAAACUCAUGAAAAUGGUAACAGUGGAACAAUCAAACUCAGGAAGCAGACUGCUCAGACAACACGAAGAUGCUGUUAAACAAACCAGAACUGGUUUGAUGCACUUGAAAAUAAAACAAGAUCAUUUAUUUAUUGAACCACAGACUUCAGAAAGCCAACGACGUGGUACACUCUCUAAAAACAGUAGUAUCACUAUUCUUUGUUGAGGGGAUUAGUGAGAGAAAAAUGUCCUUCCACUGAGUUCUACAGAGUUAUGUAAACCAUUUAAGCAGUAAACUAGUUGAAACAGUGACUCAGAUUAUUUGGAAUAAUCUGUUUAAACUGUUGAGUAUUUUAAAGAAGCAAUACCUUAUGUUUUUUUACAAAUCUUUUUUGCAUUUUUGAGUAUGUUUCUCAUGUAUAUUUUUACGGAAUUAUAAUGUGUAGUACUUUAAUCAAAUGAAGGAAGAACAUUUUAUUUUACUGGAUUUGGCUUCUAUGACCUUUUAGAAUUAUUUUUAAAGGUAUAAAUGAGGUACUUCUGCAUCCAUUACAGAUAAAAUUAGUGACAAUAACAAUUCUAGUAAAUGUUAAACUGUUGCUUCUGCAUUUGAAAAGCAAAAUCAUUGAAAUGCAAACACUUUAAGUUAGACAGAAGCAGAGGCUUUGGAUAUACUAAAUACUGCAAAAGUUAAACCUAGCAGACAUUUCACCAAAAGCCAAAAAAGACCAGGAUACACUUUCUAUUAAAUUCAUUUAAAUUUGAAAAAAUUUAAUACUAGCCUGACAGUCUGAAUACAUCAGUUCUAUAGUAUUUUUUCCUUGUUCUUUAGUUUAAUAUAAUGACCUUUAGUGCAGUUAUCUGCAUCUGUAUCUUUGAUCUGUCUAUUUCUUACUUAUUAACAAUAUAGAUGCAAGGUGGAGUCCAAGGAAGUUGAGAACAAUACAGACAAGAUUUUUUUUUAAUCUGAGUCCUUUUUGUGAUAAAUUGAAUAUUAUGCUGAUACCAUACCAAGCUAAUUAAAAAAACAACCACCCAUUGAAAGAUCUCAGUACUGUCAGCCCUCCCAGAUAAACCAGACAGGAAACACGACAAGAUGCCAUGUUUCAAUUUCCAGACUGAGAAACUGCAUCAACAUAAUCGCUAAGCAAUUUGGGGAGGAAACCUGAGGUUGGUGCAGGAAGAGUCAGUACAUUUGAAACAACUUGUUCAGACUGAAGAAGCUGCUUGGAUGAGCAGCAAAAUGUCUCAAGCCAACAGGAAAAUAAGUCCAGUGCCUUGACUCAAUUUCCAGAUGACUAGAUGAACUAAUUCUACUUUAUUGUAAGGCUACAUUAAUAUAAUCUUAAUAAAUCUGAAAAUACAGUGGUUCCUUGGUACUCAUUGUUAAAUGGUUUGGGGAGGCAUGACAAGUACUAAAAAUGACGAGUGCCAAACAAACCACGUGACUUACCAUGUGAUCCUUUGUUUCAGCCAGGAAGGACUUCCUGUCUGUCCCUUUUCCUAUGUCAGUGACCUUCCCAACAUGGUCAAUUUCCUGUCUGCUUUCUGUCACUGACUCCUUCCUUUUGCACUGACCUUCCCAGUAUGGCUAACUUCCUGUCUGUUCUCCACAUCCACCCCCUUUAACAAUCUCAGUGCAUUGAGUACCAAACAAACAACGAGUACCAGGACAACAUUUUUAUGUCAAGAUGUGUUGCGUACCAAAUUCAACGAGUUUUGAAGCAGUCGACACAGAGGUACCACUAUACAGACUUCUGGCCACCACUGUUAAUUCCUUGAUCCAGGUCUUUACUAAGUUUCUUGGUUAAGCACUGGGGGCUCCUGUUUUUCUUGUCUGAUUGUUUCCUAAACAGCAUUAUCUUCCCCAAGGUUAUUCACACAUUCCAUUACAGUACUGAUAUAUUUUAUUUCAUGCUUUAUUAUAAAUUGCAUAUACAUUGAAGUUGCUUCCUGUACAUGUGCAGUAAACUAACAAAAGUUCCUUCAUAAAAGUUUAUAAUAGUAAAAAGUGACAAUUAGGAAAUUAUACAGAUGCAUUUUUUCAUGUCCUUAAACUUAUACAAUGGAAGAAAAUCUGUAUGGUCUCUUAAGAGUCAAUCCUGACUUGAUAGUACAUAAUUAAUUCUGCAUAUAUGAUACUGAUCUACUGGGUAGAAUCAUAGAAGAAUUAUCAAGUCAUUUAGUCUGAUUACCUGCUUGAAGUAGCAUAUUUAUAUUGCUUGGUAUUACAGAAUUGCAUAUUUAGAUGUUAUUUUGUAGAAGUUGUGGAAGCACAAAAUAUUUGUAUGUAGAAAUGAGGGGGGAUAUUUAAUUUUUUUACCAUCUGUAGGAUGCUCAUGUUGAAUAAUAUUUUCAACAUAAUGUUUUGGGCGGCUACAAAAAAAAGGUCCUUGAAAACUCCUUUUGAAUGAAUAGGAGCACUUUUCUAUGAAGAAGCUUCAAUGUUCAUUCUUCUGUUAUGCAGUACAGAUUCGUUAGCUAAACCCCUGCUCUUUUGACAGCAAGAACAGUCAAAUUAGAAUAACUGCCUAAUAAUAGCCUAAAAGAAAAUUGUGAUUAUCUUUUCCUGAGAAUAAUUAGUGAAUAACUUUUGGGGGGUUGAAAUUUUCUGCCAAAAUUCAUAUUCAAUUUUGCUAUGGUAAGACGAUUGACAAAAUAAAGAGAAAACAGUAUAAUAUUUAGUGGAAGAGUAAAGUGAAAAGUGAAAAGGUUCAGCCGAAUAUUUACUUUUAUAUGCGGUGUGUUGGUUUAUAAGUAAAGAAAAUAUUUGAGAGUAAAGUUCAUACAUAAAAGUUAAAAUGGAAAGAAAACAAAGCUUAGUAUCAAUAUUUUACAAUGGAAACUUCAGAAGUUGUACAAUUCAAUGAAUAGAUGACAAAAAAAAUCGCAAGGCAAUAUUAUAUCUAUUUAUGUAGUAGUAAGCCCAUACAAUGCCAUGUGAUAUUUUCCUGAGUAUAUAUUCAUUCAAUUGCAGCUUUGUUUUCUUCCCAUUUUAACUUUUAUGUAUGAACUUGACUUAGAAGUUGGCAGGUUAUAUUAAUUUGAUUUCUAGUUUUGUGUUUAGUGUUGUACUUACGGUGAAGCAAAACAAAGCCUGCUAUAAAAAUAAAUCCAAAUCUUCUUAGUUGAGUGGGAAAUGAACAUGUUUCAUAUCCCUCUUAACUAGGAGAAAAAUUUGCAUCACAGAACAAUCCUUAACUUCAGAUUACAUUAGGAUUUGCAUAACAUGCUAGGCCAAAAUAUGUUGUGGAAAUGUGGUUUAUUUAUAACUGAAAAUAUGAUGCAAACUAAGGAAAUUAUGUUUCAGCUAAUCAUGAGUGUUGUGUGAGCAAAACAAAAUAAAAAGACAUGGGGCCACAAACAAACAUUUUUCUACUAACAAUUUCUGAGGGUCACCCAUUAGAUUCAGAAGAAAGUUCUUGACAAUGAAUCUUCUGCACAUAUCAGAAUUGGAGUAGUGUGUAAGGUGAAUCCCUACUAUUCAGGCUUAGAGUUGGCUUUAUGGUGUUCCACUGAAAAGUUUUCUAUAAAAUAAUUCUCUAGAGUCAAUUUUUGCCUCCAAAACAAUGAAGGUAGAGAAAAUAAGAUCCUUAAAUAUGUAUCAUGUAACAUACUUCUUCAGAUUCCAAAAGGACUCAUAAAGGAUCUUUUUGGAGUGAGAAGAAUUGGUAAAAUGAAAUAAAGUUGUACUUCCAGUAGGUUUGAUUCCCACUUUCUCCAUAAAGUAGCAUACCUGCUUGUCUGCUAGAUAUUUGUUAUUCUGUAGUAUAACAUGGCAUGACAAUUUAUAUCUUUCUUGAAAUGGUAGAAUUAUGUCACUCAAGCAAGAGAAUCAAAUUACUUUUUUCUGUUAAGUAUUCACAGACUUUUUCUAUUAUCCAGGUCGAUGCUAUUUAAUUAUAGUUUUUCAUUAUAUAAUAUAACCAACUGUAGUAAUAUUUCAGUGCACGGGGCACUUUGCUUCUUAUGUAGUUAUAUAAUCUAUCCAGUACACAUUUUUUUUUUUAAAAUCAGAUUUGUUUAAACUUAAAUAUUAUGCAUUGUAAUCUUUGAAUUGUUAUAUCAAAUGUUGAAUGGGCUGGACCCAUUAAUGUAUGAAAUGUUAUAAUCUAUUAAUAUUAUUUGCUCUGUCUAUUUUGUUUGCUCUAUAUAAUAAUUGUACAAUUGCCAACAAGAUUUGAGCCUAUAACAAUGUUUUAAUUUAACCUCUAAGAAUACUAAUAAAUGUUUGUAAUUUC